GGUAUAGUGACCGAGUGGUUAGGUUAAGGUCUGCAAAACCUUAUACAUAAGUUCGAAUCUUAUCUAUACCU
rnacentral:tRNA from 1 species